rnacentral:rRNA from 1 species
AACGAACGCUGGCGGCAGGCUUAACACAUGCAAGUCGAGCGCCCCGCAAGGGGAGCGGCAGACGGGUGAGUAACGCGUGGGAACGUACCCUUUGCUACGGAAUAGCUCCGGGAAACUGGAAUUAAUGCCGUAUGUGCCCUAGGGGGGAAAGAUUUAUCGGCAAAGGAUCGGCCCGCGUUGGAUUAGCUAGUUGGUGGGGGUAAUGGCCUACCAAGGCGACGAUCCAUAGCUGGUCUGAGAGGAUGAUCAGCCACACUGGGACUGAGACACGGCCCAGGCUCCUACGGGAGGCAGCAGUGGGGAAUAUUGGACAAUGGGCGCAAGCCUGAUCCAGCAAUGCCGCGUGAGUGAUGAAGGCCUUCGGGUCGUAAAGCUCUUUUACCAGGGAUGAUAAUGACAGUACCUGGAGAAUAAGCUCCGGCUAACUCCGUGCCAGCCGCCGCAGUAACAC